rnacentral:rRNA from 1 species
UACAGAGGGUGCAAGCGUUAAUCGGAAUUACUGGGCGUAAAGCGUGCGCAGGCGGUUCGCCAAGUCAGGUGUGAAAGCCCCCGGCUCAACUGGGGAGGGUCACGCGAUACUGCUCGACUCGAAGGCAGGAGAGGGAAGUGGAAUUCCCGGUGUAGUGGUGAAAUGCGUAGAUAUCGGGAGGAACACCAGUGGCGAAGGCGACUUCCUGGCCUGUUCUUGACGCUGAGGCGCGAAAGCGUGGGGAGCAAACAGG